rnacentral:rRNA from 1 species
AUUGAACGCUGGCGGCGUGCCUAACACAUGCAAGUCGAACGAGUCGCGGACGGGUGAGUAAUGUCGGUGACACUGCCUUAUGGCGGGGAAUAACUCCUGAAACCGGUAGCUAAUCCCGCAUACCUUCCGCUGUUACCUGAUUGCAUUAGCUAGUUGGUAGGGUAACGGCUCACCAAGGCGACGAUCCCUAGCUGGUCUGAGAGGAUGACCAGCCACACUGGAACUGAGACACGGUCCAGACUCCUACGGGAGGCAGCAGUAGGGAAUAUUGCACAAUGGGCGCAAGACUGACGGAGCCACGCCGCGUGUAUGAAGAAGGCCUUCGGGUUGUAAAGCACUUUCAGCGGGGAGGCGGUACCUGAAGAAGAAGCAACGGCUAACUACGUGCCAGCAGCCGCGGUAAUUC